rnacentral:lncRNA from 1 species
AGAGAACAGGGGAAUUGACAUACAAAGCAAGGUCCCAUAUCUCCAUAGCCCCCUUCCACUUGACAGGCCAAGGCUUCCUCUGAAAUCAAGGGCCAGAUGCAAAAAGCGAGGAACUCAAGCAAGAGCAUACAAAACCAAACCCCUCGGGAAAGAAAUCCUCUCAAAAAAUCUCUACCAGAAAAAAGAGUUCCAUUAACACACCCGCGACAUGAAACAAGGC